AUAAGCAGGGCACAGAAUACCCCUGAGGCUGACUGCCCAGCCUGUUGCUUUUUCACUUUAGGAAAACAACGUCCGUUCUCAUUCCCACGGGCACUCUGCGCGCACACCUUUGUUAUUCUGGGGAAUCGGCUUCUGCUGUGAUGACCUGGCAAGUCUGGGUUCGGAUCCACACCGUCUUCCACGUGGCUUCGGCUGUCCUGGGCAAAGAGCCUUCCUCUCUGGAUCACACACCCGAGCUCCGAGCAGCCAGGCGUCCCACUCCUGUGUCCUCAGGCACACUUAUGCAAUCAUCCUUGCCACUUUCUGAAGCACUUCUGGAAGUCCUCUUUCCAGAGUGUCUCUCUGAGGCACGAUGAAAGAUCCAUGGACUUUGCAGCCAAGCACCAUUCAAUGGAAAGGCGGGCUGGCAAGCCACGGCAGUGUGUCCUCAUGCACAUCGCAGGCCGGACGUCGCACCGUGACUUUCUGCUCCUCACCAAACUCAGAACGGCCGUGGGAAGUGAACGUUCCCAAUCCAUCAGGACAUCAAGGCAGCCACAGCAGCACAGCCGAACACACUGAGAGGGCUCCGGGGCCGCUUCCCCAAGGGGCAGGAAGGAAGAGCUGUGCCUCUAGAUUCCUGCUCUGGCAGAGUGAGCCCACACACGUUUCAUACCCACACAACCACGGAGAAGUGGCACCUAGAACAUGCGGACUGUGCCCAAGCGCAGGCUGUCACGUGUACUCAUGUGUGGAGGAUGGGCGUGUGUGCCGGUCUCACCAGUGUGCAUCCACAGAUGCAGCUGAGACAAGACGAUCUCACACCACAAAGUUCACCGUGCAUCCCUCAAAAGCAGCACUGCCUACUUGCCUUCCUUCCUCUCUGCUUAAGACCUUAAGAGUGUCAUUCUCAUCUCCUUUUCCAUAAUGCUCUCAUCUGAAGACGUUACAUAAAGACAGUCCUCAAAUGUAUCGUCUCCUGAGAUCCGCGCACGCAGCGGGAAGGCUCACGCGUGCUGCUGUGUGCAUCAAUAGACCUUUCCUUGCUGUUGCUGUGAAACAUUCCACAGGCGGCCUGAGGGUCACAGGUUCUUGUUUCUUAAACUAUUUCAUUGCUGAACAGCAGCUGGGUUGCUCCUAGUUUGAGGCUAUUAACAACAUUUACAUAGAGGCCGUGAACACUUGUGUAGAGGCUUCUGAUUAAUCAGAACAUUUGGGGGGAGGAUAAAUGUCCGGAAAUGCAACUGCUGGAUCAGAUUGUAGUUGCGGGUUUAGUUCUGGAAGAAACCCAUAGAUAUUUUCCAGAAUGUCUGUAUCUACCUUCUCUCUAGUAGUGCAUGAGGAUCCAAUCCCUCUGCACUCUCCCCGGCAGUUUAGUGCAGGGCUUUGGCUUCAUUUCAUUUCUGCUUCCUGACAUACAUGUGGCAGGAAGGAUAGGGAAGGAGUGCUCGGAGGAAAGGGGGAUGUUUCCAGGAUGAUAACAACAAUGCGCUUUUCCCUGUAACAACUUUUAUAGUCACUCUAUUUUGUGAUCAG
rnacentral:lncRNA from 1 species